rnacentral:rRNA from 1 species
UAGGGAAUCUUCGGCAAUGGACGAAAGUCUGACCGAGCAACGCCGCGUGAGUGAAGAAGGUUUUCGGAUCGUAAAACUCUGUUGUUAGAGAAGAACAAGGACGUUAGUAACUGAACGUCCCCUGACGGUAUCUAACCAGAAAGCCACGGCUAACUACGUGCCAGCAGCCGCGGUAAUACGUAGGUGGCAAGCGUUGUCCGGAUUUAUUGGGCGUAAAGCGAGCGCAGGCGGUUUCUUAAGUCUGAUGUGAAAGCCCCCGGCUCAACCGGGGAGGGUCAUUGGAAACUGGGAGAGUUGAGUGCAGAAGAGGAGAGUGGAAUUCCAUGUGUAGCAGUGAAAUGCGUAGAUAUAUGGAGGAACACCAGUGGAGAAGGCGGCUCUCUGGUCUGUAACUAACGCUGAGGCUCGAAAGCGUGGGGAGCAAACAGG